GACGAACGCUGGCGGCGCGCCUAACACAUGCAAGUCGAACGAGCGAGAGAGAGCUUUCUUUCUCUAGCGAGUGGCGAACGGGUGAGUAACGCGUGAGGAACCUCCCUCAAUGAGGCUGACAACACUUGGAAACGACUGCUAAUACCCCAUAAGCCCACGUCCACCCAUUGGGUAGAGGGAAAAAGAGCAAUUUGCUUUCACUUGGCCUUGCGUCCGAUUAGCUUGUUGGUGAGGUAACGGCCCACCCAUGCGACGACCGGUAGCCGGACUGAGAGGUUGAACGGAGACAUCGGGACUGAGCAGCGGCAGAGAAUCCUACGGGAGGCAGCAGUGGGGGAUAUUGCACAAUGGGGGAAACCAUGAUGCAGCGACGCCGCGUGGAGGAAGAAGGUAUUCGGAUUGUAAACUCCAGUUGUUGAGGAAGAUAAUGACGGUACUCAACAAGGAAGUGACGGCUAACUACGUG
rnacentral:rRNA from 1 species